CCGCUUACACCUUCACCUAAAACACCGAGCAGACUUGUGCGGUCGAUCCAUGGGAAAUGCCUGCCAUACACUAGCAGCGGGGGCUAAAGCGGACAGAAGUAAAACGGGGGUCUUCAGCUUCUCAGAGAAAAAUGCAAGAGGAACCAGCAAGGGAAGUUGAUGCAAUUCAAAAUCAAAAGUAAAGCACGUAUUUCAGUGCAGGCAAUAUUGUGUCCUUACAAUGAGAAGUACCCAGUGAGGAGCACAGUCCUGCCAAUACUGGGAGUGUGGGAAGAUCCAGGAGUGGGAGGAAGUGUUGGCAAUGCUGUUUGAAGGAGCGGGAACUAGAUUUUGCCGUCUUCACUUACCCUCAAGGAACAGCUGCAGAAGUAAGUGGCCUGCCUUUGCUGGCUUGCCCUGCUCCUUGUAGCCCUCGCCGCGGAAAGAUCUGAGUAGAAAUUGGGAAUGGUGGCCCCAUGCUGCCUUGGUUUUGCUCCUGGAA